UGCGUAGGUGGUAUGGCAAGUCAGAAGUGAAAACCCAGGGCUUAACUCUGGGACUGCUUUUGAAACUGUCAGACUGGAGUGCAGGAGAGGUAAGCGGAAUUCCUAGUGUAGCGGUGAAAUGCGUAGAUAUUAGGAGGAACAUCAGUGGCGGAGGCGGCUUACUGGACUGAAACUGACACUGAGGCACGAAAGCGUGGGAGCAAACAG
rnacentral:rRNA from 1 species